ACGGGAGGGCAGCAGUGGGGAAUAUUGGACAAUGGGGGAAACCCUGAUCCAGCGACGCCGCGUGAGUGAAGAAGUAUUUCGGUAUGUAAAGCUCUAUCAGCAAGGAAGAAAAUGACGGUACUUGACUAAGAAGCCCCGGCUAACUAUGUGCCAGCAGCCGCGGUAAUACGUAGGGGGCAAGCGUUAUCCGGAUUUACUGGGUGUAAAGGGAGCGUAGACGGCAAUGUAAGUCUGAAGUGAAAGCCCUGGGCUCAACCCGGGAACUGCUUUGGAAACUGUAUAGCUAGAGUGCAGGAGAGGUAAGUGGAAUUCCUAGUGUAGCGGUGAAAUGCGUAGAUAUUAGGAGGAACACCAGUGGCGAAGGCGGCUUACUGGACUGUAACUGACGUUGAGGCUCGAAAGCGUGGGGAGCGAACAGGAUUAGAUACCCUGGUA
rnacentral:rRNA from 1 species